rfam:Schistosoma curassoni strain Dakar, Senegal genome assembly, scaffold: SCTD_scaffold0005903
AUCCAACUGACGAGUUCCGAAUAGGACGACACACGCGUCAAUCUGUAU